UGUGUGUUAGUGGAAGCGUCUGGAAAGGCGCGCGAUACAGGGUGACAGCCCCGUACACAAAAAUGCACAUGCUGUGAGCUCGAUGAGUAGGGCGGGACACGUGGUAUCCUGUCUGAAUAUGGGGGGACCAUCCUCCAAGGCUAAAUACUCCUGACUGACCGAUAGUGAACCAGUACCGUGAGGGAAAGGCGAAAAGAACCCCGGCGAGGGGAGUGAAAAAGAACCUGAAACCGUGUACGUACAAGCAGUGGGAGCACAGAGCAAUCUGUGUGACUGCGUACCUUUUGUAUAAUGGGUCAGCGACUUAUAUUCUGUAGCAAGGUUAACCGAAUAGGGGAGCCGAAGGGAAACCGAGUCUUAACUGGGCGUUAAGUUGCAGGGUAUAGACCCGAAACCCGGUGAUCUAGCCAUGGGCAGGUUGAAGGUUGGGUAACACUAACUGGAGGACCGAACCGACUAAUGUUGAAAAAUUAGCGGAUGACUUGUGGCUGGGGGUGAAAGGCCAAUCAAACCGGGAGAUAGCUGGUUCUCCCCGAAAGCUAUUUAGGUAGCGCCUCGUGAAUUCAUCUCCGGGGGUAGAGCACUGUUUCGGCAAGGGGGUCAUCCCGACUUACCAACCCGAUGCAAACUGCGAAUACCGGAGAAUGUUAUCACGGGAGACACACGGCGGGUGCUAACGUCCGUCGUGAAGAGGGAAACAACCCAGACCGCCAGCUAAGGUCCCAAAGUCAUGGUUAAGUGGGAAACGAUGUGGGAAGGCCCAGACAGCCAGGAUGUUGGCUUAGAAGCAGCCAUCAUUUAAAGAAAGCGUAAUAGCUCACUGGUCGAGUCGGCCUGCGCGGAAGAUGUAACGGGGCUAAACCAUGCACCGAAGCUGCGGCAGCGACGCUUAUGCGUUGUUGGGUAGGGGAGCGUUCUGUAAGCCUGCGAAGGUGUGCUGUGAGGCAUGCUGGAGGUAUCAGAAGUGCGAAUGCUGACAUAAGUAACGAUAAAGCGGGUGAAAAGCCCGCUCGCCGGAAGACCAAGGGUUCCUGUCCAACGUUAAUCGGGGCAGGGUGAGUCGACCCCUAAGGCGAGGCCGAAAGGCGUAGUCGAUGGGAAACAGGUUAAUAUUCCUGUACUUGGUGUUACUGCGAAGGGGGGACGGAGAAGGCUAUGUUGGCCGGGCGACGGUUGUCCCGGUUUAAGCGUGUAGGCUGGUUUUCCAGGCAAAUCCGGAAAAUCAAGGCUGAGGCGUGAUGACGAGGCACUACGGUGCUGAAGCAACAAAUGCCCUGCUUCCAGGAAAAGCCUCUAAGCAUCAGGUAACAUCAAAUCGUACCCCAAACCGACACAGGUGGUCAGGUAGAGAAUACCAAGGCGCUUGAGAGAACUCGGGUGAAGGAACUAGGCAAAAUGGUGCCGUAACUUCGGGAGAAGGCACGCUGAUAUGUAGGUGAAGUCCCUCGCGGAUGGAGCUGAAAUCAGUCGAAGAUACCAGCUGGCUGCAACUGUUUAUUAAAAACACAGCACUGUGCAAACACGAAAGUGGACGUAUACGGUGUGACGCCUGCCCGGUGCCGGAAGGUUAAUUGAUGGGGUCAGCGCAAGCGAAGCUCUUGAUCGAAGCCCCGGUAAACGGCGGCCGUAACUAUAACGGUCCUAAGGUAGCGAAAUUCCUUGUCGGGUAAGUUCCGACCUGCACGAAUGGCGUAAUGAUGGCCAGGCUGUCUCCACCCGAGACUCAGUGAAAUUGAACUCGCUGUGAAGAUGCAGUGUACCCGCGGCAAGACGGAAAGACCCCGUGAACCUUUACUAUAGCUUGACACUGAACAUUGAGCCUUGAUGUGUAGGAUAGGUGGGAGGCUUGGAAGUGUGGACGCCAGUCUGCAUGGAGCCGACCUUGAAAUACCACCCUUUAAUGUUUGAUGUUCUAACGUUGACCCGUGAUCCGGGUUGCGGACAGUGUCUGGUGGGUAGUUUGACUGGGGCGGUCUCCUCCUAAAGAGUAACGGAGGAGCACGAAGGUUGGCUAAUCCUGGUCGGACAUCAGGAGGUUAGUGCAAUGGCAUAAGCCAGCUUGACUGCGAGCGUGACGGCGCGAGCAGGUGCGAAAGCAGGUCAUAGUGAUCCGGUGGUUCUGAAUGGAAGGGCCAUCGCUCAACGGAUAAAAGGUACUCCGGGGAUAACAGGCUGAUACCGCCCAAGAGUUCAUAUCGACGGCGGUGUUUGGCACCUCGAUGUCGGCUCAUCACAUCCUGGGGCUGAAGUAGGUCCCAAGGGUAUGGCUGUUCGCCAUUUAAAGUGGUACGCGAGCUGGGUUUAGAACGUCGUGAGACAGUUCGGUCCCUAUCUGCCGUGGGCGCUGGAGAACUGAGGGGGGCUGCUCCUAGUACGAGAGGACCGGAGUGGACGCAUCACUGGUGUUCGGGUUGUCAUGCCAAUGGCACUGCCCGGUAGCUAAAUGCGGAAGAGAUAAGUGCUGAAAGCAUCUAAGCACGAAACUUGCCCCGAGAUGAGUUCUCCCUGACUCCUUGAGAGUCCUGAAGGAACGUUGAAGACGACGACGUUGAUAGGCCGGGUGUGUAAGCGCAGCGAUGCGUUGAGCUAACCGGUACUAAUGAACCGUGAGGCUUAACCUUACAACGCCGAAGGUGUUU
rnacentral:rRNA from 1 species